rnacentral:rRNA from 1 species
ACGCACGCUGGCGGCAUGCCUAACACAUGCAAGUCGAACGAGACCUUCGGGUCUAGUGGCGCACGGGUGCGUAACGCGUGGGAACCUGCCCUUAGGUUCGGAAUAACUCCCCGAAAGGGGUGCUAAUACCGGAUAAUGUCUUCGGACCAAAGAUUUAUCGCCUUUGGAUGGGCCCGCGUUGGAUUAGCUAGUUGGUAGGGUAAAAGCCUACCAAGGCGACGAUCCAUAGCUGGUCUGAGAGGAUGAUCAGCCACACUGGGACUGAGACACGGCCCAGACUCCUACGGGAGGCAGCAGUGGGGAAUAUUGGACAAGGGGCGAAAGCCUGAUCCAGCGAUGCCGCGUGAGUGAUGAAGGCCUUAGGGUUGUAAAGCUCUUUUACCCGGGAUGAUAAUGACAGUACCGGGAGAAUAAGCUCCGGCUAACUCCG